AAACUCACGUUGAAACACCGGUUUCCGUAGGCUCACCGAAGUUAAGCAACGUCGAUCCUGGUCAGUACCUAGAUGGGUGACCCUUCGGGAAUACCAGGUGCUAUAG